GCAGAACGCGAAGAACCUUACCAGCCCUUGACAUCCCGGUCGCGGGAUCGAGAGAUCGAUCCUUUCAGUUCGGCUGGACCGGUGACAGGUGCUGCAUGGCUGUCGUCAGCUCGUGUCGUGAGAUGUUGGGUUAAGUCCCGCAACGAGCGCAACCCUCGCCCUUAGUUGCCAUCAUUCAGUUGGGCACUCUAAGGGGACUGCCGGUGAUAAGCCGAGAGGAAGGUGGGAUGACGUCAAGUCCUCAUGGCCCGUUACGGGCGUGGGCUACACACGUGCUACAAUGGUGGUGACAGUGGGCAGCGAGACCGCGAGGUCGAGCUAAUCUACCAAAAGCCAUCUCAGUUCGGAUUGCACUCUGCAACUCGAGUGCAUGAAGUUGGAAUCGCUAGUAAUCGUGGAUCAGCAUGCCACGGUGAAUACGUUCCCGGGUCUUGUACAC
rnacentral:rRNA from 1 species